GACCCUAAACCUAACACGUCAGGUCGAGGUGUAGCGCACUGUAGUGGGAAGAGAUGGGCUACACUCCCUGCCUCAGGGACCACGAAGAGGGCCCUGAAAUUGGGCUCUUGAAGGAGGAUUUAGCAGUAAAGAGGAACUAGAGCGUCCUUUUGAAGAAAGGCCUUGAGAUGCGUACACACCGCCCGUCACUCUCCCCAAAAUCUCUCUCAUAAUUCCUAAAACCGGGAACUUCAGAAGGGGAGGCAAGUCGUAA
rnacentral:rRNA from 1 species